GACGUAGGGUGCGAGCGUUAUCCGGAUUCACUGGGUUUAAAGGGUGCGUAGGUGGGCUAGUAAGUCCGUGGUGAAAUCUCUGAGCUUAACUCGGAAACUGCCGUGGAUACUAUUAGUCUUGAAUCUCGUGGAGGUAAGCGGAAUAUGUCAUGUAGCGGUGAAAUGCUUAGAUAUGACAUAGAACACCGAUAGCGAAGGCAGCUUGCUACACGAGUAUUGACACUGAGGCACGAAAGCGUGGGGAUCAAACAGG
rnacentral:rRNA from 1 species